rnacentral:rRNA from 1 species
ACGAACGCUGGCGGCGUGCCUAAUACAUGCAAGUAGAACGCUGAAGGAGGAGCUUGCUCUUCUGGAUGAGUUGCGAACGGGUGAGUAACGCGUAGGUAACCUGCCUGGUAGCGGGGGAUAACUAUAGGAAACGAUAGCUAAUACCGCAUAACAGUAGAUGUUGCAUGACAUUUACUUAAAAGGUGCAAUUGCAUCACUACCAGAUGGACCUGCGUUGUAUUAGCUAGUUGGUGGGGUAACGGCUCACCAAGGCGACGAUACAUAGCCGACCUGAGAGGGUGAUCGGCCACACUGGGACUGAGACACGGCCCAGACUCCUACGGGAGGCAGCAGUAGGGAAUCUUCGGCAAUGGACGGAAGUCUGACCGAGCAACGCCGCGUGAGUGAAGAAGGUUUUCGGAUCGUAAAGCUCUGUUGUAAGAGAAGAACGAGUGUGAGAGUGGAAAGUUCACACUGUGACGGUAUCUUACCAGAAAGGGACGGCUAACUACGUG